rnacentral:sRNA from 2 species
UUUGAUCACUCGCCGAAUCCUGCCGGUGGUCGGAGGCACAUGACGCGCAAGCGCCGUAGGCAGGAGCGGGGGACCCAAGGUAAGUGCCGGCCCCACCCGUGAAAGCGGGUCAACCGGCUUGGGGUGAAGCCGCGUGUGCGCAGUAGCGCGCACCGGCCGGGCCACUCACAGCCCGAACCCGACAGCUCACCUCGUAGGCGUCGGUGAGGAAACGA